CCAAAAAAUUGAUACUGGAAAUAUAUUCUCAAUACAAAAGUGAUCUACAGAGUGACCAAAAGGAAGAUAGUCAUAAAUGAAAUCUGGGGAGUUUUCGAAAACUUGACUUGGUUAACGUUGAAGUUAUGACGACGAGACUCUUUCUGAUGGGACUACUUCUUUCAAGGCACAUGCAGCAGCUUCCUGGGGAGUGUGCAGUCUGUUUACAUAUAAACGGAAAACACGUGGUUUGAGGGAAGACCUGUUUGGAGCUAGAUAUAGCGUAUCAUGUGCCCUUUUUGUGUUAUCUGAUGAGAUAGGAAAUCGUCAGACGUCUAUACUCUAUGAUAUCGGCUUCUAUUGUAAAAUUAUCCAUCAUCAAUAGUGUGUUUUUCGCCCUCCAAAUAAAGACGCAUUUACAAG